rnacentral:rRNA from 1 species
GUCAAUGGCCAUACCACCCUGAAAAUACUUGAUCUUGUCUGAUCUCAGAAGCUAAGCAAGGUCAGGCCUGGCUAGUACUUGGAUGGGAGAAUACAUAAUCAAUUAUUUAUU